rnacentral:ncRNA from 1 species
CGUGGAAGUCUGAAGGGUGUGUGGUGGAUGCCUAGACUCUGUAAGGCGAUGAAGGACGUAGCGUGUCUGCGAAAAGUUCCGGGGAGGUGACAAGCAACCUUUGAUCCGGAAAUGUCCGAAUGGGGAAACCUUUCCGAGCAAUCGGAAAUCUUUGGAGUGUUCCAAAGGAGCAAACCCAGGGAAGUGAAACAUCUCAGUACCUGGAGGAAAAGAAACCAAACCAUAUCUCGGUCUCUGCGCCCGAUAGUUGGGCACAGGGACCGGGAUUAGGAAUUCCCUUAGUAGCGGCGAGCGAAAAGGGAGUAGCCCAAACCGUACGCAUCACAUUGCAUGUGAGGCCAGUUCACAGAAAACAGUUUUCAGUUUACAGAAGGAAAAAAUUCAAAAUCCUUCUGUCGGCUGUGUACUGUUAACUGUAGACUGCGUUUCGUGUGUAGCGUGAUGCGUAUGGGGUUGUAAGGCAACGGCAUUCCAUUUAUGGAAGGAAAGUUAUCAAUGGUAACGAUAGAAGAAUCCGCUGGGAAGCGGAACCCUAGAGGGUAAUGGUCCCGUAUUCGAAAUCGUUUCCACUUUCUUGUUGUUGUUCUUGAGUAAUCCGAGACAUGAAUAGCUUGGAUGAAUCCGCCGGAACUAACCGGCAAGGCUAAAUACCAACAGAGAUCGAUAGUGAACCAGUACCGUGAGGGAAAGGUGAAAAGAACCCCGGUGAGGGGAGUGAAAUAGAUCUGAAACCACACAUCUACAAUGAGUCGAAGAGGUCGCAAGACCUC